ACAGCAGUCGCCGCGGGAAUACGGAGGGUGCAAGCGUUAAUCGGAAUUACUGGGCGUAAAGCGCACGCAGGCGGUCUGACAAGUCAGAUGUGAAAUCCCCGGGCUUAACCUGGGAACUGCAUUUGAAACUGUCAGGCUGGAGUCUUGUAGAGGGGGGUGGAAUUCCAGGUGUAGCGGUGAAAUGCGUAGAGAUCUGGAGGAAUACCGGUGGCGAAGGCGGCCCCCUGGACAAAGACUGACGCUCAGGUGCGAAAGCGUGGGGAGCAAACAGGAUUAGAUACCCGCGUAGUCCCUGUCUCUUAUAA
rnacentral:rRNA from 1 species